rnacentral:rRNA from 1 species
UUGGCCCAGAUCGUUAUCCGUGAAAAAAUUAGAGUGUUCAAAGCGGGCAGAUAUUUUUCCUGCCACCGAAUACAUUAGCAUGGGAUAAUGGAAUAGGACCCUGACCUCCUAUUUUCAGUUGGUUUUGUUUACAGCGAGGUUAUAUCAGGGUAAUGAUUAAUAGGGAUAGUUGGGGGCAUUAAUAUUUAAUUGUCAGAGGUGAAAUUCUUGGAUUUAUGAAAGAUUAACUUCUGCGAAAGCGUUUGCCAAGGAUGUUUUCAUUAAUCAAGAACGAAAGUUAGGGGAUCGAAGACGAUCAGAUACCGUCGUAGUCUUAACCAUAAACGAUGCCGACCAGCGAUUAGGAGACGUUGAAUACAAAACACCGCCGUUAAUCCUUUCGGGGGUUAAUGGUUGGUGAAUGACUCCCUAGCAGCUUGUGAGAA